AGUGUGCAUGCAUGGGGGGAGUGGAUAGGGAGGAAAUACUGAUGUAAGUAAGCAUCUUAUCAGUGAGUUUCUAGAACUGCUUUCCAUGAACUUCAUCCCAGCAUCACCUCCCCAGUUUACUUCAAGGAUAAGCUGAAAGUGAGAGUCAACCGGGUGCGAACUUGCCACAAUCUCACAGCUAGCUGCUGAAGUGAGACUGUGGCUACAAAUAUUUUUCUGAGCCAAAUUUAAAGACAGAGCACCUAAUUUGCUUAAAAAUUAAUAGCACCUUGUCAACCAAGCCUAAGAAACAUUUCUGAAAAAGCUACCAAGAGGAACGAGACUAAGUAAAAACAAGCCUAAGCAAGAGUGACCUAUAGGAAGAUCUAUGAAAUCAGACAUCAGCGCCAUCGUCUGCAGUUUACAGGCUAACAGCUUCACUCAGUGCCACUGCUACGGGACAAUCUGGUCUGGAACUGAAACCAGAGAAAGACAGCUACACACCCUUCUCUGAAUCUAAUGACUAAGCACCCACUCAGCUUGGCAUGGUGAUUUAUGCCAAGGCCACACAGCUCCCCCUCAUCAUCAAGGAAUGCACUGUGGUGGAAGCCCAAUAACAAUGAGAACAGAAGCAAGACAGGAGAGAAAAGGAUCUGUAUAUGCUGCAGUUGCACUAUGACUAGAAUUUAUGUCUAUAAAGCAAGAUACAGAAAUCUAAGGAAUCAAAUUAUUUAUAUAUAAGGAAGUCAUCGGAGCCUAUUUUCAACAUUUUAAGGAAUAACAUUGUUCUAAAAGGGAGAAAUGGAAAGGAACAUUCAUUGUUGGCCUGAUAGUUUUCUUGUGUAGGGACGCAGAACAAAAAUAAUUAAUAUACGAAAUGAGGGUAGAAAUACACAUAAUUUUUAUACAUAUACUAAAAAAAAAAUCUGAGACCACUGAUCUAGACAUUACCUAUCUUUCCUCUAACUUUAACCAGGAUUGCUUACUUACCUCCAACAAAAUCUGCUUCACCCACACAAUAAAACCAGUAUAAAGGUAUCUUGAAAAUCCAUCUCAUAUGAUCUUAGAAGAAAACCGCUAAUUGACCAGUAGAUU